rnacentral:rRNA from 1 species
GGGGAAUAUUGCGCAAUGGGCGAAAGCCUGACGCAGCGACGCCGCGUGAGGGAUGAAGGUUUUCGGAUCGUAAACCUCUGUCAGAAGGGAAGAAACUGCCGUGCUCUAAUCAUCAUGGCAUUGACGGUACCUUCAAAGGAAGCACCGGCUAACUCCGUGCCAGCAGCCGCGGUAAUACGUAGGUGGCAAGCGUUGUCCGGAUUUACUGGGUGUAAAGGGAGCGUAGGCGGGAAGGCAAGUUGGAUGUGAAAACUGUGGGCUCAACCGACAGACUGCAUUCAAAACUGUUUUUCUUGAGUGAAGUAGAGGCAAGCGGAAUUCCUAGUGUAGCGGUGAAAUGCGUAGAUAUUAGGAGGAACACCAGUGGCGAAGGCGGCUUGCUGGGCUUUUACUGACGCUGAGGCUCGAAAGUGUGGGGAGCAAACA